GAGUCGUAACAAGGUCUCCGUUGGUGAACCAGCGGAGGGAUCAUUGCUGGAAGCGCCGCAAGGCGCACCCAGAAACCCUUUGUGAACUUAUCCCAAAACGUUGCCUCGGCGCUGGCUGCCUCUCCCCUCGGGGAGGGGGCCCGAAUCUCAGGUGGUCAAACACCCGGGAGGAGGACAGCAGGCCCGCCGGUGGCCCACCAAACUCUUGUAUUCUGAGUAACAUCUGAGUAAAGCUUCUAAAUGAAUCAAAAG
rnacentral:misc_RNA from 1 species